rnacentral:rRNA from 1 species
UACGGUAGGGGGCUAGCGUUGUCCGGAAUCAUUGGGCGUAAAGAGCGCGUAGGCGGCCAGAUAAGUCCGGUGUGAAAGUCACAGGCUCAACCUGUGAAUGCCGCUGGAAACUGUCUGGCUAGAGUCCGGAAGGGGCGAGUGGAAUUCCUGGUGUAGCGGUGAAAUGCGCAGAUAUCAGGAGGAACACCAAUGGCGAAGGCAGCUCGCUGGAACGGUACUGACGCUGUGGCGCGAAAGCGUGGGGAGCAAACAGG